GGCUGGCCCAAGUGCAGUGCUGUUUACAGCUAAUUGAUUACAACCAGUUACAGAUUUCUUCCUUCUCCAUUCCCACUAUUUCCCUUGAUUAGUCUUUA
rnacentral:Y_RNA from 1 species